GUGACGUUGUUGUAAUGGUGGCAUAGAAGAUUGUGACUCUUCCAGAGGCGGGUUCGAUUCCCCCACGUCACAC
rnacentral:tRNA from 8 species